CUGCAGUGGUUCCUGUCCCUUGCUGAGAUGCACUGGGGGUCCCUGCAGUGGUUCCUGUCCCUUGCUGAGAUGCACAGGGAGGCUGGAGCACUGAUCAAAAGGGUCCAGAAUGAGCUUCUUCAGGGAGUCAAACAGGGAGCUCCAGUGUCCCAGGAGUCCUGACACCCCAGAACUGACAGUGGAAAGCAUGUGUCACAGGAGACUUUGGGAAGUUGCAUCACACUUUGCCACAUCUGUGGCUCUACUGCAGCAGGCAGAGGCUGCCAGCCAGGUCAGAGCUGUGAUUUUGAAGUGAGAUAAACUCUCCCUGUCAGGCACCAAGCAGCAUCCCAGCAGAUGAAGCUGUCAGGGUUGUGUGACCUUUUCAUCUGCCAGAAGAUGCAGCUGGGAGCCAAGUAGUAGCUCUUCAUUUUCUCCAUUUAAUAUUAAAAAUUCUGUCUGGGAAGUACAGAAGGCCUUUUUCCACGUCUGCCCAGCGGGUUCUGGGCUCUGUGGUGCCAACAGCAGCCUAACAAGAUGAAACAAAUACUUCCAUUUAUUUGUCUCCCAAAGGACUGGGAAAACAAUAGCACAGGGAUCUGGAGAGAGAUAUUAAAAACAAAAGAUAAAUUGUAUUACAGCCAAAACCUUGAUUAGUUCCAGGCGGGAAAGUGAGAGGGAUUUCACUGCACUGCAUUUGGAGUGACCUUGGUGUGUAUUUUAAUAUUUAUACCCUCAUCUAAUUAGUAUUACUCACUAAUAUCUAACUCCUCAAAUAGAGGAUAUACAUGGGCAGCCCAUUUUUGCAGGAUCAGAACCAGCUCAUGUAUUCCAAAGCAUCUGGGUGCCUAUGGAAGUGGCCACAUAGCCUCAGUCUGGCAAAAAACAAUAAUGGUAACACCCCCAAAAAAAUGUAAAAUAUCAGGAAAAUCUGGUGGACCUGAAACCUCCUCCAGGACGUCAAAUCUGGAAAC